CGGGUUUUGUUUUCCUUCAUACCAUGUCCGAAAUAUAGUUUGAAGUAGAAGAGAGCCCCGA
rnacentral:pre_miRNA from 1 species